rnacentral:rRNA from 1 species
GCUCCAAUAGCGUAUAUUAAAGUUGCUGCAGUUAAAAAGCUCGUAGUUGGAUUUCUGGCUUGAAACAUUUUGCCGGCCACGGUUUCGUGUGUUAGUGCUUGAUGUUCUGGCCAUCCUUCCAAUCGCCAUUGGCUUGUCUUCAUUGAUUGGUCAGUGGUAUUGGAUCUUACUUGAAAAAUUAGAGUGUUUCAAGCAGGCUU